rnacentral:lncRNA from 1 species
CUGUGGGCAUGGACUUUAAGACCCUCGUUCUAGCUGCCUGGAAGUCAGUCUUCUCCUAGCAGCCUUUAGAUGAAGAUGUAAAACUCUCAGCUCCUCCUGCACCAAGCCUGCCUGGAUGCUGCCAUGCUCCUGCCUUAAUGAUAAUGGACUGCACCUCUGAACCUAUAAGCAAGCACAAAUUAAAUUUGAGUUGCCAGCAUUCUUUAUCAUGACAGGACCUGCCUCUGUGUUUGUUUGCACAGCCCAUCUCCAGACCUGCUUCCUCUGACAUGUUCCUGCCAUGGCUGAAAGGGUCUGCUGCAUGCACAAUCUGUUACGAGCUAUAAGCAUAAGAAUAUUACAGUCGGC